AACGCUAGCUACAGGCUUAACACAUGCAAGUCGAGGGGCAGCACAAGGCAGCAAUGCUGAGGUGGCGACCGGCGCACGGGUGCGUAACGCGUAUCCAACCUUCCCGUUACUCAUGGAUAGCCUUCCGAAAGGGAGAUUAAUACAUGAUGGUGUUGAAAUUCCGCAUGUUAUUUCAACUAAAGAUUUAUCGGUAACGGAUGGGGAUGCGUGACAUUAGAUAGAUGGCGGGGUAACGGCCCACCAUGUCCACGAUGUCUAGGGGUUCUGAGAGGAAGGUCCCCCACACUGGAACUGAGACACGGUCCAGACUCCUACGGGAGGCAGCAGUGAGGAAUAUUGGUCAAUGGCCGGAAGGCUGAACCAGCCAAGUAGCGUGAAGGAUGAAGGUUCUAUGGAUUGUAAACUUCUUUUAUGAGGGAAUAAAACCUCCCACGUGUGGGAGCUUGUAUGUACCUUAUGAAUAAGCAUCGGCUAACUCCGUGCCAGCAGCCGCGGUAAUACGGAGGAUGCGAGCGUUAUCCGGAUUUAUUGGGUUUAAAGGGAGCGUAGACGGGAGAUUAAGUCAGCUGUGAAAGUUUGAGGCCCAACCUUAAAAUUGCAGUUGAUACUGGUUUCCUUGAGUGCGGUUGAGGUGUAUGGAAUUCGUGGUGUAGCGGUGAAAUGCUUAGAUAUCACGAAGAACUCCGAUUG
rnacentral:rRNA from 1 species